UACGUAGGGGGCAAGCGUUGUCCGGAUUUAUUGGGCGUAAAGAGCGUGUAGGCGGCCUGAAAGGUCAGCUGUGAAAACUCGAGGCUCAACCUCGAGACGUCGGUUGAAACCAUCUGGCUAGAGUCCGGAAGAGGAGUGUGGAAUUCCCGGUGUAGCGGUGAAAUGCGCAGAUAUCAGGAGGAACACCAAUGGCGAAGGCAGCUCGCUGGGACGUUACUGACACUGAGGCGCGAAAGCGUGGGGAGCGAACAGG
rnacentral:rRNA from 1 species